UAGGGAAUUUUCCACAAUGGACGAAAGUCUGAUGGAGCAACGCCGCGUGCAGGAUGAAGGCCUUCGGGUCGUAAACUGCUUUUAUUUGUGAAGAUUAUGACGGUAACAAAUGAAUAAGGGUCGGCUAACUACGUGCCAGCAGCCGCGGUCAUACGUAGGACCCAAGCGUUAUCCGGAAUUACUGGGCGUAAAGAGUUGCGUAGGUGGCUUGUUAAGCAAGGUAUGAAAUCGUGUGGCUCAACCAUACACACAUAUUUUGAACUGGCAGGCUUGAGUAUGAGAGAGGUAGAUGGAAUUCCCUGUGUAGGAGUGAAAUCCGUAGAUAUAGGGAGGAACACCGAUGGCGUAGGCAGUCUACUGGCUCAUUACUGACACUAAGGCACGAAAGCGUGGGGAGCAAACG
rnacentral:rRNA from 1 species